rnacentral:rRNA from 1 species
GAUGAACGCUGGCGGCGUGCCUAAUACAUGCGAGUCGAGCGAACGGACGAGAAGCUUGCUUCUCUGAUGUUAGCGGCGGACGGGUGAGUAACACGUGGAUAACCUACCUAUAAGACUGGGAUAACUUCGGGAAACCGGAGCUAAUACCGGAUAAUAUUUUGAACCGCAUGGUUCAAAAGUGAAAGACGGUCUUGCUGUCACUUAUAGAUGGAUCCGCGCUGCAUUAGCUAGUUGGUAAGGUAACGGCUUACCAAGGCAACGAUGCAUAGCCGACCUGAGAGGGUGAUCGGCCACACUGGAACUGAGACACGGUCCAGACUCCUACGGGAGGCAGCAGUAGGGAAUCUUGCGCAAUGGGCGAAAGCCUGACGGAGCAACGCCGCGUGAGUGAUGAAGGUCUUCGGAUCGUAAAACUCUGUUAUUAGGGAAGAACAUAUGUGUAAGUAACUGUGCACAUCUUGACGGUACCUAAUCAGAAAGCCACGGCUAACUACGUG